UAGGCUUCCACGGCCAGAGUCAGUUGAAACUAAACGUGUUCCGGGUUUCAACCGUGUCAUGUCGUUGGUUAAAAUAAAACUCUUGACUUAAACUUGAGUUUUAUUUUAACCAACAUGACACGGUUCAAACCCGGAACACGUUUAGUUUCAACUGACUCUGGCCGUGGAAGCCUA
rnacentral:pre_miRNA from 1 species